rnacentral:rRNA from 1 species
UACGAAGGGGGCUAGCGUUGCUCGGAAUCACUGGGCGUAAAGGGUGCGUAGGCGGGUCUUUAAGUUAGGGGUGAAAUCCUGGAGCUCAACUCCAGAACUGCCUUUGAUACUGAGGAUCUUGAGUCCGGGAGAGGUGAGUGGAACUGGGAGUGUAGAGGUGAAAUUCGUAGAUAUUCGCAAGAACACCAGUGGCGAAGGCGGCUCACUGGCCCGAUACUGACGCUGAGGCACGAAAGCGUGGGGAGCAAACAGG